AUGUGGGAUGGUGUGCUUGCACAAAGUUGUUCUUGUUCCUCACACAGCUGGGACCUGUGGACUGACUUUACCAACCACAGAAAACCUGCUAAAGGCCUACUGAAUGGGUGGAUUCAAAAGGGAGGUCCUCCUCUACUUGUUAUGCCAUGUGAUCCCACAAUGCCUCAGCACAGGCCUUCACUCACAGAGGGUGUACGAAUUAAAACUAUCCGCGUCAACAAGUAUCCCUGAUGUACUGUAACCUACCAACAGGUUUGUAUAUCAUGUCCCAGUUUCACAUUGCUGAGCCAGAAGAGGAACCGUUCAAAAGGGACCUGGAUCAACCUCUCAGCAUGUUGCCUACAAAAUAGGGCCAGCAUUCAACUUCAGAAUUAACACAAGGUAAAUAACACUGGUCCAGUGGUGGCUAGCGCUGUAGAUGUAAUGGAUUAUUAUAUUAGAUGAUUCUUUAUUUAUUCAGGGAAAACCCAUUGAGACCAUGGUCUGAAUCCCAAGGGUGCCCUGAUCACAGCAAUACAACAACCAAUACAAUGUCAAACAAAACAACAACCAAUCCCGAGCGGCCCCAGAACAUCUCAUUGUAAACAAGCUUGGUAAACAAACAGGGAGUAAUGAAUUGAUCUACGGGCCUUCAAUGAGAACCAGCCAACCUUUUGAUACAGGACGCAGUUGUGAGUAUUAAAACUGUCACCUGUGAUAAAGUGAAGGGCUCUAUGGUAGACAGCAUCCUAAGGGUUAAAAGUAGUUCGUGCUUCUACACCUGCAUUGCUUGCUGUUUGGGGUUUUAGGCUGGGUUUCUGUACAGCACUUUGAGAUAUCAGCUGAUGUACGAAGGGCUAUAUAAAUACAUUUGAUUUGAUUUGAUUUGAUUUAGUUAGUGGCUGCUUGUUGUAUUCUGGGUAUUGUGUCACCAUAGUUAAGAACUGUCAGGAAAGUUGACUGUACAAUCUGUUUCCUGCUGUUUAGGGAGAGGCAAGAUCUAUUUUUUUUAAAUAAGCCCACUUUAAAUCUGAGCUUUUU
rnacentral:lncRNA from 1 species